UCUCACUAGCCUGGUCACAGAGUCCUUCAGCUUCUUUGCUUUCUCCCUCACACUUCCUGAAAGGCCUGAUACCAGCCAUGCAAGCUGGGGAGAGGCCCCUUCCAUGGCCAUUCUUUCCUCUCUGCAAAUCUGUCCCGGAAAGAAAGGUUUCGUUCCUGGGAAAAGACGCUUCAGGAGGUAGGGACCUUGACGAUGUGCUCAGGAUUCCUCUCCAGCCUCCCCUUUGACCUGCACCCUGCUCUUAUCCUGCACUCUGGCUGUGGUGACCUCCACGUUGUUCUACUCUUCCUGGGCCAGACUGUGAGGGCUCACCUCUGCCCAGGGCCUCUCUCAUGCUCUCUGCCUGGAAAGUCUGCUCUCACUCAGUCUACCCACCCAACAGACACCUCCCCGUGAGGUACCUUCAAGUCUUAGAAGAAAGUCUUGAAAGAUCUCUUAAGAUGCAGCACAAGCACCAGAGUCUUCCUGACAUCUUUCCCGACCACCACUCUGUCUUCCCCUCAGAGGAGUAGUUAACAUGGUGGGUGUUCCCCAUUUUAGCAGCAACUGGCUGACCGGGGGAGGGCGUGUGGGGGAUGGAGUUCAAGUCUGUUAGGCAAUGGUAUGAGAAAUUCGCUCAGCAGAAACCGUCAGUGGGAGGAAGGGGGAUCCAGGAUUAACUCGACUUUGGAUUUGGCAACGACAUUUUGGCCCUCGGCCUGCGUGAAACUGGAGUGGGCUUGGAAGAUAUGAAGCUGCUGGCUGGAAGAAAUCAGUCUAC